rnacentral:lncRNA from 1 species
AGUAUUCCACCAUAGUAGCUUCCUCUUCCUUGGGCCUUUUCUGGCCAGCACUUCAGUAGAUCAUUUAUUGAUCCUGGCAUGAUCUGUUGCAAUGCAAUCAUUUAGGCUUCCACAAUUGCAUAAUUACUCUGAAUGUCUCUCACACAGAAAGCACUUGCUACAUAGGUCAGAGCCUCUUUUUGGAGAUUCUCACGAAUGAGACAAGCUUCUUUACACAUUACCAUUUAAAUCAAGCUACCUUGAAUGGAGCUUUGGAUCUCCAGAUCUGUUUCCAUGGCAAAGGACUUGGUAAGUUCUCCGGUUUUGUUAAAAUUUUGUAGCAUGAUCUCACUGUGAGCAGACCCUUUUUUCUAGGGAUCCAUGUUAUGUUGCCUUCUGUAUUAGUGUGCUGCUGAUGUGUUCAAAAGACUGAAAAAAUCAACAGCCCAGUUUCAACUGUCAUAAGCUGGCUCUCUCAUCUUGCUCUUGUCCAAGCUAGUUACGCAAUUGCACGUUGCUUACUUGGUUUGGUGUUUAAAAG